rnacentral:tRNA from 1 species
GGGCCCAUAGCUCAGCGGUAGAGCUGCGGACUCAUAAUCCGUAGGUCCUAGGUUCGAAUCCUAGUGGGCCCA